GAGUUUGAUCUUGGCUCAGAUUGAACGCUGGCGGCAUGCCUUACACAUGCAAGUCGAACGGCAGCACGGGAGCUUGCUCCUGGUGGCGAGUGGCGAACGGGUGAGUAAUGCAUCGGAACGUAUCCUGGAGUGGGGGAUAACGUAGCGAAAGUUACGCUAAUACCGCAUAUUCUGUGAGCAGGAAAGCGGGGGACCUUCGGGCCUCGCGCUCUUGGAGCGGCCGAUGUCGGAUUAGCUAGUUGGUGAGGUAAAGGCUCACCAAGGCGACGAUCCGUAGCAGGUCUGAGAGGAUGAUCUGCCACACUGGAACUGAGACACGGUCCAGACUCCUACGGGAGGCAGCAGUGGGGAAUUUGGACAAUGGGGGCAACCCUGAUCCAGCCAUGCCGCGUGAGUGAAGAAGGCCU
rnacentral:rRNA from 1 species